UACGGAGGGUGCAAGCGUUUAUCCGGAUUCACUGGGUUUAAAGGGCGCGUAGGCGGCGGGGUAAGUCGGGUGUGAAAUCUCAGAGCUCAACUCUGAAAUGGCACUUGAUACUGCUCUGCUAGAGGACUGGAGAGGAGAUUGGAAUUCACGGUGUAGCAGUGAAAUGCGUAGAUAUCGUGAGGAACACCAGAGGCGAAGGCGGCUACCUGGACAAUUGCUGACGCUCAGGCACGAAAGCGUGGGGAGCAAAAGGG
rnacentral:rRNA from 1 species